CCAUCGCCGGCCUAUUACUCAGUACGGGUCUCCUCUCAGAAUGAGAAGGAUUUGGCCAGAGUCCACCUCGCUUGCCAAGUGCGGAUUGGCAGACUUUACACACCAUUGAGAACAUUAUGGAGAACUCUCAGGCAUGCAGGUUUCCUUUCGAUGUUUUCCUUCACCGUUAAAGCAAGUGAUAUUUAAUUGC